rnacentral:rRNA from 1 species
AUCAACAUACCUUUUAAACAUCGGGCGUGGUCAGUACUUGAAUGGGUGACCACCUGGGAACACCACGUGAUGUUGGCU